ACACAGACAUCAGGUCCACCCAGAGCCAGCCACGCUUUCCCGACCCGGGCACACUGGGAGCACUGGAAAUGCGUCCUGGGGCUGAAGGGAAAAGAAAGCUGGGGGAAACCACCUCUGCUCCGCUCAGCUGCACUGUUCAGAGACAAGGAGGGAAGGUGACUCCCAAGGUGAUCCUGGUCCACAGGAGCUGCCAGCGCUCCAUCAGGAUUUCUGCACUGCAGGAACAUGGAUGUGGCUUCAGCAACAUGAACAUUAGAAACCAUGGUUUGUACUGGUUUGUACUGGUCAGUGAGCCUCAUUCCUCUGGGAGCAGCAGCAGGAGGGAGCUAUCCCCAUGUGCUCCUGGAGACUUAUUAUGAAUAAGGUAAAGGGUCAAAGCUAAAACCUCUUUAGACUCUCAGACCUCUGGAGGUUUUUUUGGAAAAAGACAAGGGGCAGCUGAAUUUUCUUCAUGGAAAGCUCAUGGGAAAAGGGAAAACCUCCAUGCCAAAGGAGCAGGUCUCUCUGUCUGUGCCAGUUGUAUCCCCUUGCCAAGAUCAGGAACAAAUCUUGUAAAGAUACAGCCGGAUGGGUCCUGGAAAGCUGGAUGUAACCAAGUAACCAGGAUCCUAGCAACAAGCUUGAUGGGAGGUUUUAAAGAUAGAAAAAAUGUAGGAGCAAAGCAAACAACGGGAAAAUACUGUCUCCUUCCCCUAACUCCCAACCCUACAGCAGGAGAUAAAUCAGCUCCAGGCAGGGAGAGGUACUUUGGUUGUUUGGGGUUUUUUUCCCUUUUCAAAGCAAACAAAGUCACAGAUAAGGAUUUUUUAAACCACUUUUACAGGUGUCAUUUGUACAAAUCAAAGUGUCCCUUGAAAAUCUCAUUAUUACAAACAUACAAAGAAACGAUGUUGGUGCUACAAAUCAGCUACGAGACGGCAGGAGCAAUUUAUCACGAUUAAAAACCCAACUGAAUGGUAUUUACAGGGCCUUUCUCCCUCUUUUUAUUUCUGUAUGUUGAGGGAAGGAAAGGAAAGCAAAGCCCACAGUUAAAAAAACUCCCACCAAUGCACUUCAUUUUCUAAAAGUAUAAAAUUGGGUGAGUUUUGCCAGCUGCCACACUCAGGAAAAGUGUAACAAUUUCUAGUUUUGCUUGUUUUCACAUCAAAAGUCUCUUAGAAAAACCAAAAACAAACACAUGGCAGUGUCUGAUGAAACGUGCUCCUUCCGUGCCAGAAGCCAACAUCAUCCCAAAAAAGUGCCUUUGAGUAAAAUCAACUUUAGUAACAAAUAAGAAACAAAAGGAAAAAAGUAAUCACAAGCUCUAGUUAAAAGCUUCAUCAAAGCCCUGAUGGAGCAGCCGCUCUGCAGCAAAAGCAUGAGUUCUCUUACCUACCUUCAACCCUGAGAUGUUUCUCCACUCCCUGACUGGAGUUCAGGAUAUCGAGGAGCUCCCACCAGCCCGGAGUUGUGUGGUGCUCCUCCUCCAAGUGCUUUUAAUCCACCACCAUCACCCCAAAAGAGGUGCCUGGGGGGACCUAUGCCAGCUGGUCUGGCUGUAAGGGUCAGUGGCAGCCGUGCUGUUUCAGGGCAGCACAUCCCUGGUACAGGGAACUCUCAUAGCCCUUUGAUCCUGCUGGUUUGGAAUCAGCAGUGAGGAAAAAUCCCUGGAGUGCACCAAAAAACACUCCCUGGCUUGGGUCACUGCCUGAGUAAGUGCUUUCCUGGAGCCAACCUGGCCCCUGCAUCUGGAAGGAGCAGAUGAAGGGGAAAGAGAGGGAAUAUCUGAGCCUUGAACUCUCUUUGUGUAAAGAAACAGAGUAAGAGACACUUAAUUGCACCAAGCUGCAGAAAUCAUCAAAAUCCCAGAGAUCACCAUGUAACCAGGGCACUGGGCGGAGAAUUCUGGGUGGGUUGGGGGCUGGAUCAUUCCCCUUUGGCUCCCAACCCAAAAACUCUCAUCAGAAAAACAAGGAAACAUAAAACCAGGCAAUUUGGUUUGCAAAGCUGACAGAGAAAAUAAAACAAAACAAAACAAAACAAACAAACAAAAAAAAAACACCCCACAAA